rnacentral:rRNA from 1 species
ACUGCUCAGUAACACGUGGACAACCUACCCUUAGGACUGGGAUAAACCUGGGAAACUGGGUAUAAUACCGGAUAGGGCUCGAAUGCUGGAAUGCGUCGAGUCAAAAAGCUCCGGCGCCUAAGGAUGGGUCUGCGGCCUAUCAGGGUAGUAGUGGGUGUAAUGUACCUACUAGCCUACGACGGGUACGGGUUGUGAGAGCAAGAGCCCGGAGAUGGAUUCUGAGACACGAAUCCAGGCCCUACGGGGUGCAGCAGGCGCGAAAACUUUACAAUGCUGGAAACAGCGAUAGGGGGACUUCGAGUGCCAGGAUACAAUUCUGGCAGUCGUCGUGCCUAAAAAGCACGGCAUAGCAAGGGCCGGGCAAGACCGGUGCCAGCCGCCGCGGUAACACCGGCGGCUCGAGUGGUAACCGCUAUUAUUGGGUCUAAAGGGUCUGUAGCCGGCUGAAAAAGUCUCUUGGGAAAUCCGGCAGCUCAACUGUCGGGCUUUCAGGAGAUACUUUUCGGCUCGAGGCCGGGAGAGGUGAGAGGUACUUCAUGGGUAGGGGUGAAAUCUUGUAAUCCUUGAAGGACCACCAGUGGCGAAGGCGUCUCACCAGAACGGACCUGACGGCAAGGGACGAAAGCUAGGGGCACGAACCGGAUUAGAUACCCGGGUAGUCCUAGCCGUAAACGAUACUCGCUAGGUGUCGGCCACGGUGCGACCGUGGUCGGUGCCGUAGGGAAGCCGUGAAGCGAGCCACCUGGGAAGUACGGCCGCAAGGCUGAAACUUAAAGGAAUUGGCGGGGGAGCAC